AAAUUUACUACGAUUCGGGCCCCAUUUCCGUACAAUCGCUUUUAGUAUUUAAUGUAUUUAUCGAAAAGCCAGUUAGGGGGAGAGAAUUACCCAGUUUGCCCCUCUUCUGUGCGUCUAUGGGCAAAAUACUUCAAAAUUAGUGUCUCGAUACCUUCGUAACUGCAGUAUAACGAUACGUAUUUUAAACACUGGCCAACCCUGCUGCAGACGUUAUACUAUU